UACGAAGGGGGCUAGCGUUGCUCGGAAUUACUGGGCGUAAAGGGUGCGUAGGCGGGUCUUUAAGUCAGAGGUGAAAUCCUGGAGCUCAACUCCAGAACUGCCUUUGAUACUGAGGAUCUUGAGUUCGGGAGAGGUGAGUGGAACUGCGAGUGUAGAGGUGAAAUUCGUAGAUAUUCGCAAGAACACCAGUGGCGAAGGCGGCUCACUGGCCCGAUACUGACGCUGAGGCACGAAAGCGUGGGGAGCGAUCCGG
rnacentral:rRNA from 1 species